AGAGUUUGAUCCUGGCUCAGGAUGAACGCUGGCGGCGUGCCUAAUACAUGCAAGUCGAGCGAACGGACGAGAAGCUUGCUUCUCUGAUGUUAGCGGCGGACGGGUGAGUAACACGUGGAUAACCUACCUAUAAGACUGGGAUAACUUCGGGAAACCGGAGCUAAUACCGGAUGAUAUUUUGAACCGCAUGGUUCAAAAGUGAAAGACGGUCUUGCUGUCACUUAUAGAUGGAUCCGCGCUGCAUUAGCUAGUUGGUAAGGUAACGGCUUACCAAGGCAACGAUGCAUAGCCGCCCUGAGAGGGUGAUCGGCCACACUGGAACUGAGACACGGUCCAGACUCCUACGGGAGGCAGCAGUAGGGAAUCUUCCGCAAUGGGCGAAAGCCUGACGGAGCAACGCCGCGUGAGUGAUGAAGGUCUUCGGAUCGUAAAACUCUGUUAUUAGGGAAGAACAUAUGUGUAAGUAACUGUGCACAUCUUGACGGUACCUAAUCAGAAAGCCACGGCUAACUACGUGCCAGCAGCCGCGGUAAUACGUAGGUGGCAAGCGUUAUCCGGAAUUAUUGGGCGUAAAGCGCGCGUAGGCGGUUUUUUAAGUCUGAUGUGAAAGCCCACGGCUCAACCGUGGAGGGUCAUUGGAAACUGGAAAACUUGAGUGCAGAAGAGGAAAGUGGAAUUCCAUGUGUAGCGGUGAAAUGCGCAGAGAUAUGGAGGAACACCAGUGGCGAAGGCGACUUUCUGGUCUGUAACUGACGCUGAUGUGCGAAAGCGUGGGGAUCAAACAGGAUUAGAUACCCUGGUAGUCCACGCCGUAAACGAUGAGUGCUAAGUGUUAGGGGGUUUCCGCCCCUUAGUGCUGCAGCUAACGCAUUAAGCACUCCGCCUGGGGAGUACGAC
rnacentral:rRNA from 1 species